AUGAAUAACCAGCGCCCAGGCUGGUUACGUAGCCUAGCCAUUGCCAGCAAGCAAUGGACCCUUGACUCAAGCCCAUUUCAUUCUGCUCAUAGACCAAGCAUCCCUCCAGCGUCUGUUCUCACAGUUCGUGAGAGGCCUCAUUUGUGCCUGUUGGAGACACUCAGAUCCUGGGGAGCUGCAGGCAGAAAACAAGAGUCCUGACACUGAGGAGCACUGUGUUGUGAAUCAGCAAGUUGACAGUCAUUAACAUGGAACUUGGGCAUUUUCCCAUUUCAUUAAGUUUUGGACAAUGUGUGUCAUUUACGAGGCUAUCAAAGCUCCUGGUUUCAAUUUUGGCUUCUGAGAGAUUUCAUGUUCCCUCGAGAGUGGUGCCAGACCAAGGAAGUCAAAUUGCUCUCUGCUCAUCCACGGCAGUGGCCAUGAACAUGACCCCACAAAAAAGCAGUCAACAUAAAGUCCACAGGUGGUCUCUCUGAACUCUGCUUCUCGCAGGCACCAGCUAUCUUCUCUGGUCACGACCCAGCUCCACACCCAAGGCUCAGCUCCACAUGACUCCCAGCAGAAACCCGGGACCUACAGAAUGGAGAUGUGGCUGUGGUGUGAAGUAGGGCAAAUGUGGUAAUUUUCCAUGCAUUCCUCGUUCAAAAAAAUCUUUAUUGCGGUUACCUCAAUGGGAGGUUCCUACUCAGUGGUUUUACAGGGGUAGUAUCGGAUGUUCUGAGGUAUACAAAACUUUAAAAAACAGACAUGGAUUCUACCCUCAAGAAGCUUCAAGUCUCAUACAUGCUAAAAGAUGAAAGAUGGCCCUAACUGGUUUUGCUCAGUGGUUAGCGCGUCGGCUUGUGGACUGAAGGGUCGCAGAUUCGAUUCCAGUCAAAAGGCAUGUACCUUGGUUGUGGGCACAUCCCCAGUAGGGGGUGUGCAGGAGGCAGCUGAUCGAUGUUUCUCUCUCAUCGAUGUUUCUAACUCUCUAUCCCUCUCCCUUCCUCUCUGUAAAAAAUCAAUAAAA